GGCGGCAAUAGCGCGGUGGUCCCACCUGACCCCAUGCCGAACUCAGAAGUGAAACGCCGUAGCGCCGAUGGUAGUGUGGGGUCUCCCCAUGCGAGAGUAGGACACUGCCAAGCA
rnacentral:rRNA from 1 species